rnacentral:rRNA from 1 species
GAGCGGAUGACGGGAGCUUGCUCCUUGAUUCAGCGGCGGACGGGUGAGUAAUGCCUAGGAAUCUGCCUGGUAGUGGGGGACAACGUUUCGAAAGGAACGCUAAUACCGCAUACGUCCUACGGGAGAAAGCAGGGGACCUUCGGGCUUUGCGCUAUCAGAUGAGCCUAGGUCGGAUUAGCUAGUUGGUGGGGUAAUGGCUCACCAAGGCGACGAUCCGUAACUGGUCUGAGAGGAUGAUCAGUCACACUGGAACUGAGACACGGUCCAGACUCCUACGGGAGGCAGCAGUGGGGAAUAUUGGACAAUGGGCGAAAGCCUGAUCCAGCCAUGCCGCGUGUGUGAAGAAGGUCUUCGGAUUGUAAAGCACUUUAAGUUGGGAGGAAGGGCAGUAAGCUAAUACCUUGCUGUUUUGACGUUACCGACAGAAUAAGCACCGGCUAACUCUGUG